rnacentral:rRNA from 1 species
UACGAAGGGGGCUAGCGUUGCUCGGAAUCGACUGGGCGUAAAGCGCAGCGUAGGCGGCUUCUUAAGUCAGGGGGUGAAAUCCUGGACUCCAACUCCAGAACUGCCUUUGAUACUGGGAAGCUUCGAGUCCGGAAGAGGUGAGUGGAACUGCGAGUGUAGAGGUGAAAUUCGUAGAUAUUCGCAAGAACACCAGUGGCGAAGGCGGCUCACUGGUCCGGUACUGACGCUGAGGUGCGAAAGCGUGGGGAGCAAACAGG